rnacentral:snRNA from 1 species
AUGUUUUCUUUGGCAGCACAUAUACUAACACUGAAACAAUACAGAGAAGAUAUUAUGGUCUCUGUGUUAGGCUGGCAUGUAAUAGUUUAGAAACCCACUAGUGGGAA